AAAUAGAUACCCAGGUAGUCCACGCCGUAAACGAUGAGUGCUAAGUGUUAGGGGGUUUCCGCCCCUUAGUGCUGCAGCUAACGCAUUAAGCACUCCGCCUGGGGAGUACGGUCGCAAGACUGAAACUCAAAGGAAUUGACGGGGGCCCGCACAAGCGGUGGAGCAUGUGGUUUAAUUCGAAGCAACGCGAAGAACCUUACCAGGUCUUGACAUCCCAUUGACCGCUAUGGAGACAUAGCUUUCCCUUCGGGGACAGUGGUGACAGGUGGUGCAUGGUUGUCGUCAGCUCGUGUCGUGAGAUGUUGGGUUAAGUCCCGCAACGAGCGCAACCCUUGUUCUUAGUUGCCAUCAUUUAGUUGGGCACUCUAAGGAGACUGCCGGUGACAAACCGGAGGAAGGUGGGGAUGACGUCAAAUCAUCAUGCCCCUUAUGACCUGGGCUACACACGUGCUACAAUGGACGGUACAAACGGUUGCCAACCCGCGAGGGGGAGCUAAUCCGAUAAAACCGUUCUCAGUUCGGAUUGUAGGCUGCAACUCGCCUAC
rnacentral:rRNA from 1 species